rnacentral:rRNA from 1 species
UACGAGUGCUUCGAGCGUUAUCCGGAAUCAUUGGGCGUAAAGGGUGUGUAGGUGGUUAUAUUAGUCUUGCGUUAAAUCUUCCGGCUCAACCGGGAGGCUGCGUGGGAAACGGUAUGACUAGAGGACGGCAGAGGUUUCUGGAACUCAUGGUGUAGCGGUGAAAUGCGUAGAUAUCAGGAGGAACACCGGUGGCGAAGGCGCACAUCUGGCCCGAUACUGACGCUGAGGCGCGAAAGCUAGGGGAGCAAACGGG